GACGAACGCUGGCGGCGUGCUUAACACAUGCAAGUCGAACGGAAAGGCCCUGCUUUUGUUGGUUGCUCGAUUGGCGAACGGGUGUGUAACACGUGUGUAACCUGCCCUUGACUUUGUGAUAACUUCAGGAAACUGGGGCUAAUACCGGAUAUGAUCUCCUGCUGCAUGUUGGUGGUUGGAAAGUUUCGGCGGUUGUGGAUGGUCUCGCAGCUUAUCCGCUUGUUUGUGUGGUUGUUGCUUACCAAGGCUUUGACGGGUAGCCGGCAUGAGAGGGUUAACGGGCACAUUGGGACUGAGAUAGGGACCAGAAUCCUACGGGACGCAGCAGUGGGGAAUAUUACACAAUGGGCGGAAGCCAGAUGCAGAAACGCUGCGUGCGGGAUGACGGCCUACGGGUUGUAAACAGAUUUCGACUGUGACGAAGAGUGAGUGACGGUAAUGAGUCAAGAAGCAACGGCUAACUACGUG
rnacentral:rRNA from 1 species